UACAGAGGGUGCAAGCGUUAAUCGGAAUUACUGGGCGUAAAGCGUGCGUAGACGGUUACAUAAGUCGGGUGUGAAAUCCCCGGGCUCAACCUGGGAAUUGCGUUGGAGACUGCAAGGCUAGAAUCUGGCAGAGGGGGGUAGAAUUCCACGGUGUAGCAGUGAAAUGCGUAGAGAUGUGGAGGAACACCGAUGGCGAAGGCAGCCCCCUGGGUCAAGAUUGACGCUCAUGCACGAAAGCGUGGGGAGCAAACAGG
rnacentral:rRNA from 1 species